rnacentral:rRNA from 1 species
GACGAACGCUGGCGGCGUGCCUAAUACAUGCAAGUCGAACGGUCUUUUCUAUGGAAGCUUGCUUCCACUGAGAAGAUAGUGGCGAACGGGUGAGUAACACGUGGGUAACCUGCCCAUAAGAGGGGGAUAACAUCCGGAAACGGGUGCUAAUACCGCAUAGUUUUCUUGAUCGCAUGAUCGAGAAAGGAAAGACGGCCUUUGUGCUGUCGCUUAUGGAUGGACCCGCGGCGUAUUAGUUAGUUGGUGAGGUAACGGCACACCAAGACGAUGAAACGUAGCCGACCUGAGAGGGUGAUCGGCCACAUUGGGACUGAGACACGGCCCAAACUCCUACGGGAGGCAGCAGUAGGGAAUCUUCCGCAAUGGACGAAAGUCUGACGGAGCAACGCCGCGUGAGUGAAGAAGGUUUUCGGAUCGUAAAACUCUGUUGUCAGAGAAGAACAAGUCGGAGAGUAACUGCUCCGGCCUUGACGGUAUCUGACCAGAAAGCCACGGCUAACUACGUGCCAGCCGCCGCGGUAA